rnacentral:rRNA from 1 species
GGUCAAGUGAAGAAGCGCAUACGGUGGAUGCCUUGGCAGUCAGAGGCGAUGAAAGACGUGGUAGCCUGCGAAAAGCUUCGGGGAGUCGGCAAACAGACUUUGAUCCGGAGAUGUCUGAAUGGGGGAACCCAGCCAUCAUAAGAUGGUUAUCUUGUACUGAAUACAUAGGUGCAAGAGGCGAACCAGGGGAACUGAAACAUCUAAGUACCCUGAGGAAAAGAAAUCAACCGAGAUUCCCUUAGUAGUGGCGAGCGAACGGGGACUAGCCCUUAAGUGGCUUUGAGAUUAGCGGAACGCUCUGGAAAGUGCGGCCAUAGUGGGUGAUAGCCCUGUACGCGAAAAUCUCUUAGUCAUGAAAUCGAGUAGGACGGAGCACGAGAAACUUUGUCUGAAUAUGGGGGGACCAUCCUCCAAGGCUAAAUACUACUGACUGACCGAUAGUGAACUAGUACCGUGAGGGAAAGGCGAAAAGAACCCCGGAGAGGGGAGUGAAAUAGAUCCUGAAACCGUAUGCGUACAAGCAGUGGGAGCCCACUUUGUUGGGUGACUGCGUACCUUUUGUAUAAUGGGUCAGCGACUUAUUUUCAGUGGCGAGCUUAACCGAAUAGGGGAGGCGUAGCGAAAGCGAGUCUUAAUAGGGCGUCUAGUCGCUGGGAAUAGACCCGAAACCGGGCGAUCUAUCCAUGGGCAGGUUGAAGGUUGGGUAACACUAACUGGAGGACCGAACCGACUACCGUUGAAAAGUUAGCGGAUGACCUGUGGAUCGGAGUGAAAGGCUAAUCAAGCUCGGAGAUAGCUGGUUCUCCUCGAAAGCUAUUUAGGUAGCGCCUCAUGUAUCACUGUAGGGGGUAGAGCACUGUUUCGGCUAGGGGGUCAUCCCGACUUACCAAACCGAUGCAAACUCCGAAUACCUACAAGUGCCGAGCAUGGGAGACACACGGCGGGUGCUAACGUCCGUCGUGAAAAGGGAAACAACCCAGACCGUCAGCUAAGGUCCCAAAGUUAUGGUUAAGUGGGAAACGAUGUGGGAAGGCUUAGACAGCUAGGAGGUUGGCUUAGAAGCAGCCACCCUUUAAAGAAAGCGUAAUAGCUCACUAGUCGAGUCGGCCUGCGCGGAAGAUGUAACGGGGCUCAAACCAUACACCGAAGCUACGGGUAUCACGUAAGUGAUGCGGUAGAGGAGCGUUCUGUAAGCCUGUGAAGGUGAGUUGAGAAGCUUGCUGGAGGUAUCAGAAGUGCGAAUGCUGACAUGAGUAACGAUAAUGGGUGUGAAAAACACCCACGCCGAAAGACCAAGGUUUCCUGCGCAACGUUAAUCGACGCAGGGUUAGUCGGUCCCUAAGGCGAGGCUGAAAAGCGUAGUCGAUGGAAAACAGGUUAAUAUUCCUGUACUUCUGGUUAUUGCGAUGGAGGGACGGAGAAGGCUAGGCCAGCUUGGCGUUGGUUGUCCAAGUUUAAGGUGGUAGGCUGGAAUCUUAGGUAAAUCCGGGAUUCUAAGGCCGAGAGCUGAUGACGAGUUACCUUUUAGGUAACGAAGUGGUUGAUGCCAUGCUUCCAAGAAAAGCUUCUAAGCUUCAGGUAACCAGGAACCGUACCCCAAACCGACACAGGUGGUUGGGUAGAGAAUACCAAGGCGCUUG